CUCUUCGACUCUGGCGCAUGCGCAGCUGCGAAUCCUGAGGCCGCUGGCGCUGAGAAUUGUUUUGUUCAGUCCGGUGGACUGGGCAUCAUGCCCUGAAGUCGCAGUGUGUCUAACGCCUUUGCCUUUCGUUUUAUGGGUACCAAAUGUGAACUCCAGCUCGCAACUCCUGCCUCCACGCCUUCCGCUUGGUGCCAUGCUUCUCCACCAAAAUGGGCUCUUAACCCUGGAACUGUAAGUCAAAAUAAACGAUCUUCAAGUUGCUUGGCCAA